UACGUAGGGUGCGAGCGUUGUCCGGAAUUAUUGGGCGUAAAGAGCUCGUAGGCGGUGUGUCACGUCGGCCGUGAAAACCUGCAGCUUAACUGUGGGCGUGCGGUCGAUACGGGCAUCACUGGAGUUCGGCAGGGGAGACUGGAAUUCCUGGUGUAGCGGUGAAAUGCGCAGAUAUCAGGAGGAACACCGGUGGCGAAGGCGACUGCCUGGCCUGUUCUUGACGCUGAGGCGCGAAAGCUAGGGGAGCAAACGGG
rnacentral:rRNA from 1 species